AGUGAACGCUGGCGGUAGGCCUAACACAUGCAAGUCGAACGGCAGCACAGUAAGAGCUUGCUCUUACGGGUGGCGAGUGGCGGACGGGUGAGGAAUACAUCGGAAUCUACUUUUUCGUGGGGGAUAACGUAGGGAAACUUACGCUAAUACCGCAUACGACCUACGGGUGAAAGCAGGGGAUCUUCGGACCUUGCGCGAUUGAAUGAGCCGAUGUCGGAUUAGCUAGUUGGCGGGGUAAAGGCCCACCAAGGCGACGAUCCGUAGCUGGUCUGAGAGGAUGGUCAGCCACACUGGAACUGGGACACGGUCCAGGCUCCUACGGGAAGCAGCAGUUGGGAAUAUUGGACAAUGGGCGCAAACCUGGUCCAGCCAUACCGCGUGGGUGAAAGAGGCCUUCGGGUUGUAAAGCCCUUUUGUUGGGAAAGAAAAGCAGCAGGUUAAUACCCCGCUGUUCUGACGGUACCCAAAGAAUAAGCACCGGCUAACUUCGUG
rnacentral:rRNA from 1 species